AUGGAAGGGAGGAGGGGGUCGCGUAUGUGUGUGAAUGCAUGCGUGUGUGGGGGAGAAAGGAAGGGAGGAAUAAAAGGCGAAGGGAGAGUUCCCCAGCUCUUAUCCAGUAGCUGCUCAACCCUCUUCCUCUAAAAAUAUACAGAAAGAACUGAAUGAAUAGUUACAGUCUUGUCCCAUCGUUGCAACUCCCAUACGGACUCGGAAGAAGUCGAGAGCGGCACAUCCACCGAAACACAACCCAGCAAAGCCACACUGCUUCUUGACACAACGCCCUCUUAACCCAGAAGCCAGCCAGACCAAUG